AUCAAGGGCAUACCCGUUGGUCAAGAGCGAAAGUUAAGGGCUCGAAGAUGAUCAGAUACCGUCGUAGUCUUAACUAUAAACGAUACAAACCAGGGAUAGGACUCUGUCCAUCCCGACUCUUCCCGGACCUAAGAGAAAUCAUGAGUAUCUGGGUUCCGGGGGGAGUAUGGUUGCAAGGCUGAAACUUAAAGGAAUUGACGGAAGGGCACACAAAGAGUGGAACCUGCGGCUUAGUCUCGACUGGGCCGCAGAAGCAGGCUGCAAGGUCAUGCUAGUCCAAGGUCGGGCCCCUCGGGGCCCGCCUCGGGCGACACUGUCAAAUUGCGGGGACACCCUAAAGCUCAGCACUACCAACCACGCGUGGAAACACGGAAAAAUACCGGGCGUUAAGACCUCUUUAAGCGGGGGAGUCGCGGUCGUGGGGCCCGGGGGUAACGCCCCGGGGUACGGUGAAAACGUGCGCGAGAUAACUGGUUCAAUCCACAUGGGUAAUCCGCAGCCAAGUCCUACGCCCCUCGGGGCUCGAAAGCCGAUCGCAAGCCCCCUCCAAGGAGGGGGCGAGCGUGAUGGCGAGUAGAGAGUCCCCCGAGGGCACGGAUGCAGUUCACAGACUAGAUGGCAGUGGGUGGGUGCUGAUCGGUUUGGUCGCACCCGCUUAAGGUAUAGUCGGGCCCCACCCGAGAGGGUGCCCUCCAGACCAAGGCCGGAUGACCUCCGGCCCGAGCUGGAGGGGGGGACCCGGUGCUGACCCCCCCUUCCCCCCCCCCCCCCCCCCUCCGGGGGGGGGGGGGGGUGUGUGUGUGGAUGUGGGGGUUGGCUCCGGCCGGGAUACGCCGUAAUUUGACUCUAACACGGGGACUCACCAGGUCCAGAUACACGG
rnacentral:rRNA from 1 species